rnacentral:rRNA from 1 species
GACGGAGGGGGCAAGCGUUGUUCGGAAUUAUUGGGCGUAAAGGGCUCGUAGGCGGACCGGUGUGUCUGGCGUGAAAUCUCCACUGCUUAACAGGGAGGGGCCGCUGGAAACUGCCGAUCUUGAGUAUGGUAGAGGACCAUGGAAUUCCGGGUGUAGCGGUGGAAUGCGUAGAUAUCCGGAGGAACACCGGUGGCGAAGGCGGUGGUCUGGACCAAAACUGACGCUGAGGAGCGAAAGCCAGGGGAGCAAACGGG